rnacentral:rRNA from 1 species
AACGAACGCUGGCGGCAGGCUUAACACAUGCAAGUCGAGCGCCCCGCAAGGGGAGCGGCAGACGGGUGAGUAACGCGUGGGAAUCUACCCAUCUCUACGGAACAACUCCGGGAAACUGGAGCUAAUACCGCAUACGUCCUUUUGGAGAAAGAUUUAUCGGAGAUGGAUGAGCCCGCGUUGGACUAGCUAGUUGGUGGGGUAAUGGCCUACCAAGGCGACGAUCCAUAGCUGGUCUGAGAGGAUGAUCAGCCACACUGGGACUGAGACACGGCCCAGACUCCUACGGGAGGCAGCAGUGGGGAAUAUUGGACAAUGGGCGAAAGCCUGAUCCAGCCAUGCCGCGUGAGUGAUGAAGGCCCUAGGGUUGUAAAGCUCUUUCAACGGUGAAGAUAAUGACGGUAACCGUAGAAGAAGCCCCGGCUAACUUCGUGCCAGCCGCCGCCGUAACAC